rnacentral:pre_miRNA from 1 species
UAUAAGUACAGUGUAGGUUUCCGUGUUUAGAUAGUCCGUCUUAUUUAAAAAAAAAUAUUAUUUUUUUCUUAUUACAUGAUAAAACAUAAAUGAUACUUUAUGUGAGACUAUUCUUUUUAAAUUUUUCAUAAAUUAUUUAAAUAAGACGAAUGAUGAAACGUUGAGUGCGGAAAACCACGACGGCGCGUAUA